UAGGGAAUCUUCCGCAAUGGACGAAAGUCUGACGGAGCAACGCCGCGUGAGUGAAGAAGGAUUUCGGUUCGUAAAACUCUGUUGUUAGGGAAGAAAAAAUGUAUAGUAACUAUAUACAAAAGAGACGGUACCUAACCAGAAAGCCACGGCUAACUACGUGCCAGCAGUCGCGGUAAUACGUAGGUGGCAAGCGUUGUCCGGAAUUAUUGGGCGUAAAGCGCGCGCAGGUGGUUUAGAAAGUCUGAUGUGAAAGCCCACGGCUCAACCGUGGAGGGUCAUUGGAAACUAAUAAACUUGAGUGCAGGAGAGAAAAGUGGAAUUCCUAGUGUAGCGGUGAAAUGCGUAGAGAUUAGGAGGAACACCGGUGGCGAAAGCGGCUUUUUGGCCUGCAACUGACACUGAGGCGCGAAAGCGUGGGGAGCAAACAGG
rnacentral:rRNA from 1 species